rnacentral:lncRNA from 1 species
AUCAGAGGUCCGCCUUACAACAAAGCAGAGAAAGGUGUCCGCUAUCCUCACGCUGCUUUGGAGGCCGUAGGCCGUGUCCAGGUGGUUCGGGCGGCAGGGCAUCAUCAGAGGUCCGCCACACAAAUUCCUUGUUGGGUACCCGACGGUGUGCCGGAAGAUGCUCGUCGCCGAGAGAGCCAAGGAUCUGGGCACCAGCUCGGUCCCGCGACUGCAUGGUCAGUACGUAGUUCAGUGUCUCUACCUUCGUACUGGACCAUUACGGUCUAUGAGUGUGUGUAUUAUAUAUUUAUAUAUACGAAUAUGAUCCCAUGUCUGCACAAUCAGGUAGGUCACCAUACCCUCAUUAGGCCAGUUCUAAAGGGAGAGUGCGUUCUGCCGGACUCGUACCCUCAUUAGGCCAGUUCCCUCACCACGAGUCCAGGGGGCUCAUCGUGUCCAUGGAAGCACCAGAAUAUCCCAUGCAUGGCGACGUCCUACGACAACACAUGGGCCCAAAUGUGGGCUCUGUCCUUGUACUAUCCUUGUGAGACCAGUUGUGCCGGUUAGUGUGCAGCAUGUGCAAGUCGGGUGUGUUGGCGACAACCUCGGGCUCGGAGGGUGAGGACCAUCACUUCCACCUGUAUGCCCCCUUCAUACAUGCGACCAGCAAGAAGCCUAUGUAGAGCAUCCUGCGGUUCAUAAACCAUUGCGUCAUGUUGCCGCCGGACAAGGUGAUAUCAGAGGACUCGACCGAACCUAUGCUCGGCAUGCCAAUAUUUUCUUGAAAGGCAUACUAGGCACGCAGAGCACAGGUUCGGCCAAGCCCUCUAGGAUCACCAUGCCCUGUGACAGCAAGGUGGCGUGAUAAUUUAUGAACUGCACGAUGCUUUUCAGAAGCUUCUUGCUGGUUGCAUGUAGACGGGCAUAGGUGGAAGCCAUGCCCUUAACCCUCGGAUUUAACCAUGGUGAGCCUGUCGUCAACACACCCGCACUUGCGCAUGGUGCACAUAUACUGGCGCCCCCGGUAUCAUAAGGUGUCCUCUGCAACUACCACCACACCUGCUUACCGUCA